UACGUAGGGUGCAAGCGUUAAUCGGAAUUACUGGGCGUAAAGCGUGCGUAGACGGCUAUCUAAGUCGGGUGUGAAAGCCCCGGGCUCAACCUGGGAAUUGCAUUCGAGACUGAAUAGCUAGGGUACGGUAGAGGGAAGCGGAAUUUCCGGUGUAGCGGUGAAAUGCGUAGAUAUCGGAAGGAACAUCAGUGGCGAAAGCGGCUUCCUGGACCACAACUGACGCUGAGGCGCGAAAAGCUAGGGGAGCAAACAGGG
rnacentral:rRNA from 1 species